rnacentral:rRNA from 1 species
AGUGAACGCUGGCGGUAGGCCUAACACAUGCCAGUCGAACGGCAGCACAGUAAGAGCUUGCUCUUACGGGUGGCGAGUGGCGGACGGGUGAGGAAUACAUCGGAAUCUACUUUUUCGUGGGGGAUAACGUAGGGAAACUUACGCUAAUACCGCAUACGACCUACGGGUGAAAGCAGGGGAUCUUCGGACCUUGCGCGAUUGAAUGAGCCGAUGUCGGAUUAGCUAGUUGUCGGGGUAAAGGCCCACCAAGGCGACGAUCCGUAGCUGGUCUGAGAGGAUGAUCAGCCACACUGGAACUGAGACACGGUCCAGACUCCUACGGGAGGCAGCAGUGGGGAAUAUUGGACAAUGCGCGCAAGCCUGAUCCAGCCAUACCGCGUGGGUGAAGAAGGCCUUCGGGUUGUAAAGCCCUUUUGUUGGGAAAGAAAAGCAGCAGGUUAAUACCCCGCUGUUCUGACGGUACCCAAAGAAUAAGCACCGGCUAACUUCGUG